rnacentral:misc_RNA from 1 species
UACGUAGGUGGCGAACGUUAUCCGGAAUUACUGGGCGUAAAGGGUCCGCAGGCGGCUCGGCAAGUCGGGUGUGAAAUCUCGCGGCUCAACUGCGAGGAGCCACUCGAAACUGGUGGGCUGGAAUCUGACAGAGGUCGGUGGAAUUCCCGGUGUAGUGGUGGAAUGCGUAGAGAUCGGGAGGAACGCCAAAGGCGCAGGCAGCCGGCUGGGUCAAGAUUGACGCUGAGGGACGAAAGCGUGGGGAGCGAACAGG